CUCAGGUUGAAGAGUCCAAAAUAGGACGAAAUGCGCAUCCUGGAU
rnacentral:hammerhead_ribozyme from 1 species